rnacentral:rRNA from 1 species
GACGAACGCUGGCGGCGUGCUUAACACAUGCAAGUCGAACGGAAAGGCCCUGCUUUUGUGGGGUGCUCGAGUGGCGAACGGGUGAGUAACACGUGAGUAACCUGCCCUUGACUUUGGGAUAACUUCAGGAAACUGGGGCUAAUACCGGAUAGGAGCUCCUGCUGCAUGGUGGGGGUUGGAAAGUUUCGGCGGUUGGGGAUGGACUCGCGGCUUAUCAGCUUGAUGGUGGGGUAGUGGCUUACCAAGGCUUUGACGGGUAGCCGGCCUGAGAGGGUGACCGGCCACAUUGGGACUGAGAUACGGCCCAGACUCCUACGGGAGGCAGCAGUGGGGAAUAUUGCACAAUGGGCGGAAGCCUGAUGCAGUAACGCCGCGUGCGGGAUGACGGCCUUCGGGUUGUAAACCGCUUUCGCCUGUGACGAAGCGUGAGUGACGGUAAUGGGUAAAGAAGCACCGGCUAACUACGU